rnacentral:rRNA from 1 species
GAUGAACGCUGACAGAAUGCUUAACACAUGCAAGUCUACUUGAUUCUACUUCGGUAGUUGAUGGUGGCGGACGGGUGAGUAACGCGUAAAGAAUCUGCCCUUUAGUUUGGGAUAACCUUUGGAAACGAAGGCUAAUACCGGAUAUUAUGGAGACGUCGCAUGACGUCUCCAUGAAAGCUAUAUGCGCUAGAGGAGGACUUUGCGUCCCAUUAGUUAGUUGGUGAGGUAAUGGCUCACCAAGACCGCGAUGGGUAGCCGGCCUGAGAGGGUGAUCGGCCACAAGGGAACUGAGACACGGUCCUUACUACUACGGGAGGCAGCAGUGGGGAAUAUUGUACAAUGGGCCGCAAGCCUGAUCCAGCAAUUCUGUGUGCACGAUGAAGGUCUUCGGAUUGUAAAGUGCUUUCAGUAGGGAAGAAAAAAAUGACGGUACCUACAGAAGAAGCGACGGCUAAAUAUGUGCCAGCCGCCGCGGUAA